rnacentral:rRNA from 1 species
UACGUAGGGGGCAAGCGUUGUCCGGAUUUAUUGGGCGUAAAGAGCGUGUAGGCGGCCAGGUAGGUCGGCUGUGAAAACUCGAGGCUCAACCUCGAGCUGUCGGCCGAAACCAUCUGGCUAGAGUCCGGAAGAGGAGAAUGGAAUUCCCGGUGUAGCGGUGAAAUGCGCAGAUAUCGGGAAGAACACCCGUGGCGAAGGCGGUUCUCUGGGACGGUACUGACGCUGAGGCGCGAAAGCCAGGGGAGCAAACGGG